UAGAACCCCGGAGAGAGGGUGCGGGGGACGCCGAGACCCUCUCGCCUUGCACGCAUGCACUCCCACAGACGCACACACACACACACACACACACACACACACACGAGCGCGCUUCUGCACAUCACACCUGGGUCUGGCUACCUUUCUGGCAGGCGCUCCCUGCAUGCGGGCUCUUUCAGGGACCUGAUGGGGUGUGUUUGCCCAGAUCCCCGGGGCACAAGGACAAGUCCAGACGGGGCCCUUGACUCAGCUUCUCUGAGCGUGAAGAGAACGCUUCUCCGGAUCAAAAUAGCAAGUGCUGUCGGCCGAGGAGGGGAGGUGGCACUCGAAACUCCGAGCCAAAAGAAGGAUGCUGGGCGGAGCAGGCGCCACAGGCUCCCGCGCGCACGUGAGUGGAGGGGACAUGCCUGGGAUUUGGGAACAUGUCUCUUUGUGAGUGUGCGCACAGCUCAUGGCAGUGACUCGGAUCACACAGCACCCAACCCUGUAGCAAGGAAAAAAGGAUGCUUCUCACCGGAGCGCCCUGACCACAGGGGCCUUUUGAUAACAGACUCACUCAGCCGGCUGCAGGGAAUUGGCUGUGAGGAGAUGCAUGGGAAUAGCAGUGAGGAUAUUCUAGCUCCAGUUCAAAUUACUAAGAAGGGGAGGAGGAUCUGAAGAUCCAGCGAAGUACCAGGGUUCCCGGUUAGCCAGAGCCUCUGACCCAGGCCACCUCUAGGCUCCUGGGACAUCCAAAGAUCUACAACCCUUGGGUCCAACAUCCCCCAUU